ACAAUCAUCUCACCUCUGAUGUGGUAUUGGCCGAGGUGGAGGGCACCCCCUGUGCUGGCUCCCCCCAGCCGAAAUGAAUAGGCCAGAGAAGUAAACCAUGGCAACAGACUUACAGAGUAUUUCACAAUGCUAGACCAGUUUGCAGCCGGUAGCAAUCUGCGCCACUGGACCCCCCGUUCAUUCAAACCCAACA
rnacentral:misc_RNA from 1 species